rnacentral:rRNA from 1 species
UGGGGAAUCUUAGACAAUGGGGGAAACCCUGAUCUAGCCAUGCCGCGUGAGCGAUGAAGGCCUUAGGGUUGUAAAGCUCUUUCAGCUGGGAAGAUAAUGACGGUACCAGCAGAAGAAGCCCCGGCUAACUCCGUGCCAGCAGCCGCGGUAAUACGGAGGGGGCUAGCGUUGUUCGGAAUUACUGGGCGUAAAGCGCACGUAGGCGGAUUAGUCAGUCAGAGGUGAAAUCCCAGGGCUCAACCCUGGAACUGCCUUUGAUACUGCUAGUCUUGAGGUCGAGAGAGGUGAGUGGAAUUCCGAGUGUAGAGGUGAAAUUCGUAGAUAUUCGGAGGAACACCAGUGGCGAAGGCGGCUCACUGGCUCGAUACUGACGCUNAGGUGCGAAAGCGNGGGGAGCAAACAGGAUUAGAUACCCUGGUAGUCCACGCCGUAAAACGAUGAAUGCCAGUCGUCGGGUUGCAUGCAAUUCGGUGACACACCUAACGGAUUAAGCAUUCCGCCUGGGGAGUACGGUCGCAAGA